CAGUCGCCGCGGUAAUACGUAGGUCCCGAGCGUUGUCCGGAUUUAUUGGGCGUAAAGCGAGCGCAGGCGGUUAGAUAAGUCUGAAGUUAAAGGCUGUGGCUUAACCAUAGUACGCUUUGGAAACUGUUUAACUUGAGUGCAAGAGGGGAGAGUGGAAUUCCAUGUGUAGCGGUGAAAUGCGUAGAUAUAUGGAGGAACACCGGUGGCGAAAGCGGCUCUCUGGCUUGUAACUGACGCUGAGGCUCGAAAGCCAGGGGAGCGAACGGGAUUAGAUACCCCAGUAGUCCCUGUCUCUUAUAAA
rnacentral:rRNA from 1 species